rnacentral:misc_RNA from 1 species
AACUUUCAACAAUGGAUCUCUUGGUUCUGGCAUCGAUGAAGAACGCAGCGAAAUGCGAUAAGUAAUGCGAAUUGCAGAAUUCCAGUGAGUCAUCGAAUCUUUGAACGCACAUUGCGCCCUUUGGUAUUCCGAAGGGCAUGCCUGUUCGAGCGUCAUUAUCACCCCUCGGGCCCCGUGCUCGGUGUUGGACGGCCGGUUCGGUGACCGAACCCCUCCUAAAGACAAUGACGGCGGCCUGUGGUUCCCCCGGUACACUGAGCCUUUGGCACGUACCGGACGAGGGCGCCCAGGACCCGGUCCUCUCCUCUCAGCAGGAAACUUCUCAAGGUUGACCUCGGAUCAGGUAGGAAUACGCGCUGAACUUAAGCAUAUCAAUAAGCGGAGGCU